AUGACCAUUCUCCAUUCCCUGAACCCUCGCAGUGAUGUUGACCGGCUAUAUCUGCCUAGAAGAUCAGGGGGCAGAGGACUCUUACAAGUAAAACAAGCAGUCAAAGAAGAACAUGCCCUGGCAGAAUAUGUAAAGCAAAGUGAAGAACCUGCUUUGAUUGAAGUCAAAAAUCAGAAACUCCUCAAAGCACAGCAGACAAAAAAACAGUACAAGAAAGCCACACUACAAACUAGAGCUGACAGCUGGCACAACAAAACAUUGCAUGGAAAGUUCCUUGAUAAAAUUGAAGGAAAAGCUGAUAAGGAGAAGACCUGGCUCUGGCUCACGAAUGGGACCCUGAAGAAGGAGACAGAAGGCCUGAUCCUUGCAGCCCAGGAGCAAGCCAUCAGAACAAAGGCAAUUAAGGCCAAGAUCGAAAAAUCAGCUGAUGACCCAAAAUGCAGACUGUGCAAGGAAACCGACAAAACCAUUGAUCAUAUCCUCAGCUGCUGUAAGAAAAUCACACAGACAGACUACAAACAGAGGCACAACUAUGUGGCCCAAAUGAUCCAUUGGAACUUAUGCCUCAAGUACCAGCUCCCAGCAGCAAAGAACUGGUGGGAUCACAAACCUGCAGAAGUAUUGGAAAAUGAACACGCAAAGAUACCGCGGGACUGCCAAAUCCAGACUGACAAAGUUCUGGAACACAACACACCAGACAUCACAAUUGUGGAAAAGAAAAAGGUUUGGAUCAUUGAUGUCGCCAUCCCAGGUGACAGUCGCAUUGACAAAAAACAACAGGAAAAACUCAGCCGCUAUCAGGACCUCAAGAUUGAACUGCAAAGACUCUGGCAGAAACCAGUACAGGUGGUCCCGGUGGUGAUGGGCACACUGGGUGCCGUGCCAAAAAAUCUCAGCCGGCAUUUGGAAACAAUAGGCAUUGACAAAAUUACGAUCUGCCAACUGCAAAAGGCCACCCUACUGGGAUCUGUGCGCAUCAUCCGAAAAUACAUCACACAGUCCUAG
rnacentral:lncRNA from 1 species